rnacentral:rRNA from 1 species
GGACGAACGCUGGCGGCGUGCUUAACACAUGCAAGUCGAACGGGAUAAUUUGAGAGCUUGCUCUUAGAGAAUCUAGUGGCAAACGGGUGAGUAACACGUAGACAACCUGCCGACAGGAUGGGGACAACAUUCCGAAAGGAAUGCUAAUACCGAAUGAAGCGGAGGAGAGGCAUCUCUCCUCCGUGAAAGAUGGCCUCUGAAUAUGCUAUCACCUGUCGAUGGGUCUGCGUCUGAUUAGCUAGUUGGUGAGGUAACGGCUCACCAAGGCGACGAUCAGUAGCCGGUCUGAGAGGAUGAACGGCCACAUUGGGACUGAGACACGGCCCAGACUCCUACGGGAGGCAGCAGUGGGGAAUCUUCCGCAAUGGGCGCAAGCCUGACGGAGCAACGCCGCGUGAGUGAAGAAGGUCUUCGGAUCGUAAAGCUCUGUUGACGGGGACGAACGUGCGAAGGGUGAAUAAUCCUUUGUAAUGACGGUACCUGUCGAGGAAGCCACGGCUAACUACGUG